ACAUUCAAGUCUUCACUGUCAAGAGCAAGCAGGGGAUAGAAUGUACCAAGUAACUUAGCAACCAUCCAAAUUCCAUCCACAUUCCAGGCCUGUGCUCCAGUUCUAUGGGAAACACCAUUCAAUCCAGAAAUAGACAAGAAAGAGGGUUGAAACCUUCAUGACAAUGCUAGAGAAUUAACAGUGAGAGAUGCAUUAAGCAACAACACAGUUUUGCCUUUUACAAGCUCCCUGAGGUUUUUAUUUCAGUCAGAGGACCAAGAUUUCAGUUCAAGUCACUGGAAGAAAAGAGCUGUCAUUUAUGCUCUCUACUUACAGGUAAAUUGUCUUGUGAUUAUUUCCACAGAACUCUGACUUGGAUAAGACUUGUAUCCAUUUUAUUACGAUGUUCUUCUUUUUUACAAUUUAGUUCCCCAGAGGGCAAGACCAAGCUACCUAAGAUCGGAACCCUCUGAUAAUUUGUGCUGCUAUUUUAAGAUCCAGUUCCAUUCUACAACUGGCUGAAGCAUGAAGUCAACUAAAAUAAACUGAAUUGAGUGGAACUGAACUGAACUGAAGUGAAAUAAUGUGAUUUCCAGUAAACCUGACACCUUAAGGACAGAACAUGAGCCUUGCCCAUCUUCCUCCCAGAGGUCCCAGCACAAUCACCGACUCACACAAUACUCUCAGUGCAUGAGUGAUGAAUUUCACUAACAGCGACCCAUCUCUCUACAUAAUCCACUCCGGUUUCACCAGAGCUGAGAGUAUCAUGAAUUACAUCUAUAGAUAGCUGUAAGCUAAUGACCAAAGCACAUAACUGAAUUCAAACAUAUUCUUUAUUGCAGUCAGAUGUGAGAAAACAAAAUUUAGAAGACAAGCCAGAAAGGAAAUGAAGAACAUAAAGAGCCUGAAUUCUCAUCGUCAAUUUUUCCCUGACUGACUCCGUUUUCCUCUCUUCUUUCCAUUUACCUUUCUGUUCCCAUCCCCAUCAUUUUUGUAGUGUUUAUUGAGUGUCUGCUGCAUGCCAGUCAAUGUGCUGAGUACUUUUCAUGUGUUAUACCAUUUGAUCGUCACAGCAGCACACUAUUAUAAUUAUGAAUAUGAUUCCACAUACUAUAUCUAAAAUUUAACUUAAUUUUACAUAGGAGGAAGCUGAGACUUGCCCAAGACUACUCCAUUAGUAAGAUGUGAACCAAGUGAACCAUGUCUGACUCAAACCUAACCCCUGAUUCUCUGAAUCCAUAUCACCGUAGAACUCAACAGUGAAAUAUUGGGGUAGAGGUAAUGCUAUUAGUACACAAACUAUGCACAGAUUUACAAGCAACUAAACAGGAACUCAUGGCCAGGCACAAUGGUUCAUGCCUGUAAUUCCAGCACUUUGGGAGGCCAAGGUGGGCAGAUCACCUGAAAUCAGGAGUUCAAGAUCAGUGUGGCCAACAUGACAAAACCCCAUCUCUACUAAAAAUACAAAAAUUAGCUGGGUGUGGUGGCACAUGCCUGUAAUCCCAGCUACUCAGCAGGCUAAGGCAGGAGAAUUGCUUGAACCUGGGAAGGAGAGGUUGCAGUGAGCCGAGAUCACAUCACUGCACUCCAGCCUGGGUGACAGAGCAAAACUCUAUCUUAAAUGAAUAAAUAAAUAAAAAUGAAAAAAACAAACAAAUGAAAGAAAGUCACGAGCACAACUUCUGACUCCCCCUCCAUCUUUUCCAUUGUUCCCUGUCUCUCUGCUUAAAAACAAUCCGAGUGACUCUCACUUUUUCCUUGUGUCUCCCACCCAUCUACCCUACUCUUGCUCUACACAGUUAAGGAUUGUUUUGAAAUUCUAUGGGGAAAAAUUAUAAAAUUUAUAAUCCCAAAGAGUCCAUCCAAUUGUCUGUAACAAGAUUUAAAGCUUAGUAUUAUCUCAACCCAAAAUUUGACAAAUGACAGUUUCCUUGUUGCUUGUACACACGUCACUCCAACAGCUGAAAAGCCAGGAUAGAUGUUUGCCAGUAACUUCCUUGCAGAGGCCUUAAUAAACUUAAGCAUGAUAUAUACCAA